GCCGGGAUAGUUUAGUGGUAAAACGGCUCCUUGGUAAGGAGUUGAGCGCCGGUCCGAUUCCGGCUCCCGGCU
rnacentral:tRNA from 1 species